rnacentral:rRNA from 1 species
AUACGUAGGGUGCAAGCGUUAAUCGGAAUUACUGGGCGUAAAGCGUGCGCAGGCGGUUUUGUAAGACAGAGGUGAAAUCCCCGGGCUCAACCUGGGAACUGCCUUUGUGACUGCAAGGCUAGAGUACGGCAGAGGGGGAUGGAAUUCCGCGUGUAGCAGUGAAAUGCGUAGAUAUGCGGAGGAACACCGAUGGCGAAGGCAAUCCCCGGGGCCUGUACUGACGCUCAUGCGAGAAAGCGGGGGGAGCAAACAGGAUUAGAUACCCUGGUAGUCCACGCCCUAAACGAUGUCAACUGGUUGUUGGGGAUUUAUUUUCUCAGUAACGAAGCUAACGCGUGAAGUUGACCGCCUGGGGAGUACGGCCGCAAGGUUAAAACUCAAAGGAAUUGACGGGG